rnacentral:rRNA from 1 species
UACGGGGGGGGCAAGCGUUGUUCGGAAUUACUGGGCGUAAAGGGCGCGUAGGCGGUUGGAUAAGUCAGCUGUGAAAACCACGGGCUUAACUCGUGGCCUGCAGUUGAGACUGUCUGGCUUGAGUGUGGGAGAGGAGAGUGGAAUUCCUGGUGUAGCGGUGAAAUGCGUAGAUAUCGGGAGGAACACCAGUGGCGAAGGCGGCUUCCUGGCCUGUUCUUGACGCUGAGGCGCGAAAGCUAGGGGAGCAAACGGG